AUUGAACGCUGGCGGCAGGCCUAACACAUGCAAGUCGAGCGGAUGAAGGGAGCUUGCUCCUGGAUUCAGCGGCGGACGGGUGAGUAAUGCCUAGGAAUCUGCCUGGCAGUGGGGGAUAACGUCCGGAAACGGGCGCUAAUACCGCAUACGUCCUGAGGGAGAAAGUGGGGGAUCUUCGGACCUCACGCUAUCAGAUGAGCCUAGGUCGGAUUAGCUAGUUGGUGGGGUAAAGGCCUACCAAGGCGACGAUCCGUAACUGGUCUGAGAGGAUGAUCAGUCACACUGGAACUGAGACACGGUCCAGACUCCUACGGGAGGCAGCAGUGGGGAAUAUUGGACAAUGGGCGAAAGCCUGAUCCAGCCAUGCCGCGUGGGUGAAGAAGGUCUUCGGAUUGUAAAGCACUUUAAGUUGGGAGGAAGGGCAGUAAGUUAAUACCUUGCUGUUUUGACGUUACCAACAGAAUAAGCACCGGCUAACUUCGUG
rnacentral:rRNA from 1 species